AAGCUGAUGCGGAGGCCUAACACAUGCAGUCGAGCGCACUCUUCGGAGUGAGCGGCGGACGGGUUAGUAACGCGUGGGAACGUGCCCAGAUCUAAGGAAUAGCCACUGGAAACGGUGAGUAAUACCUUAUACGCCCUUCGGGGGAAAGAUUUAUCGGAUUUGGAUCGGCCCGCGUUAGAUUAGAUAGUUGGUGGGGUAACGGCCUACCAAGUCUACGAUCUAUAGCUGGUUUAAGAGGAUGAUCAGCAACACUGGGACUGAGACACGGCCCGGACUCCUACGGGAGGCAGCAGUGGGGAAUCUUGGACAAUGGGGGCAACCCUGAUCCAGCCAUGCCGCGUGAGUGAUGAAGGCCCUAGGGUCGUAAAGCUCUUUCGCCAGAGAUGAUAAUGACAGUAUCUGGUAAAGAAACCCCGGCUAACUCCGUGCCAGCAGCCGCGGUAAUACGGAGGGGGUUAGCGUUGUUCGGAAUUACUGGGCGUAAAGCGCGCGUAGGCGGAUCGGAAAGUUGGGGGUGAAAUCCCGGGGCUCAACCCCGGAACUGCCUCCAAAACUAUCGGUCUAGAGUUCGAGAGAGGUGAGUGGAAUUCCGAGUGUAGAGGUGAAAUUCGUAGAUAUUCGGAGGAACACCAGUGGCGAAGGCGGCUCACUGGCUCGAUACUGACGCUGAGGUGCGAAAGUGUGGGGGAGCAAACAGGAUUAGAUACCCUGGUAGUCCACACCGUAAACGAUGAAUGCCAGUCGUCGGGUAGCAUGCUGCUCGGUGACACACCUAACGGAUUAAGCAUUCCACCUGGGGAGUACGGUCGCAAGAUUAAAUACUCAGAGGAUUUGACGG
rnacentral:rRNA from 1 species